ACCCGACUGCUAUCAGAGUGGGACUAAGCCAUGCGAGUCGACAUAGCAAUAUGUGGCAUACGGCUCAGUAACACGUAGUCAACAUGCCCAGGGGACGUGGAUAACCUCGGGAAACUGAGGAUAAACCGCGAUAGGUCAUCACCUCUGGAAUGGGUAAUGACUUAAAUCUAUAUGGCCCCUGGAUUGGACUGCGGCCGAUCAGGCUGUUGGUGAGGUAAUGGCCCACCAAACCUGUAACCGGUACGGGCUCUGAGAGGAGGAGCCCGGAGAUGGGCACUGAGACAAGGGCCCAGGCCCUAUGGGGCGCAGCAGGCGCGAAACCUCUGCAAUAGGCGAAAGCUUGACAGGGUUACUCUGAGUGAUUUCCGUUAAGGAGAUCUUUUGGCACCUCUAAAAAUGGUGCAGAAUAAGGGGUGGGCAAGUCUGGUGUCAGCCGCCGCGGUAAUACCAGCACCCCGAGUGGUCGGGACGUUUAUUGGGCCUAAAGCAUCCGUAGCCGGUUCUACAAGUCUUCCGUUAAAUCCACCUGCUUAACAGAUGGGCUGCGGAAGAUACUAUAGAGCUAGGAGGCGGGAGAGGCAAGCGGUACUCGAUGGGUAGGGGUAAAAUCCGUUGAUCCAUUGAAGACCACCAGUGGCGAAGGCGGCUUGCCAGAACGCGCUCGACGGUGAGGGAUGAAAGCUGGGGGAGCAAACCGGAUUAGAUACCCGGGUAGUCCCAGCUGUAAACGAUGCAGACUCGGUGAUGAGUUGGCUUAUUGCUAACUCAGUGCCGCAGGGAAGCCGUUAAGUUUGCCGCCUGGGGAGUACGGUCGCAAGACUGAAACUUAAAGGAAUUGGCGGGGGAGCACCACAAGGGGUGAAGCCUGCGGUUCAAUUGGAGUCAACGCCGGAAAUCUUACCGGGGGCGACAGCAGAGUGAAGGUCAAGCUGAAGACUUUACCAGACAAGCUGAGAGGAGGUGCAUGGCCGUCGCCAGCUCGUGCCGUGAGGUGUCCUGUUAAGUCAGGUAACGAGCGAGAUCCCUGCCUCUAGUUGCUACCAUUAUUCUCAGGAGUAGUGGAGCUAAUUAGAGGGACCGCCGUCGCUGAGACGGAGGAAGGUGGGGGCUACGGCAGGUCAGUAUGCCCCGAAACCCUCGGGCCACACGCGGGCUGCAAUGGUAAGGACAAUGAGUUUCGAUUCCGAAAGGAGGAGGCAAUCUCUAAACCUUACCACAGUUAUGAUUGAGGGCUGAAACUCGCCCUCAUGAAUAUGGAAUCCCUAGUAACCGCGUGUCACUAUCGCGCGGUGAAUACGUCCCUGCUCC
rnacentral:rRNA from 1 species